rnacentral:rRNA from 1 species
GACGAACGCUGGCGGCGUGCCUAAUACAUGCAAGUAGAACGCUGAAGAGAGGAGCUUGCUCUUCUUGGAAGAGUUGCGAACGGGUGAGUAACGCGUAGGUAACCUGCCUUGUAGCGGGGGAUAACUAUUGGAAACGAUAGCUAAUACCGCAUAACAAUGGGUGACCCAUGUCAUUCAUUUGAAAGGGGCAACUGCUCCACUACAAGAUGGACCUGCGUUGUAUUAGCUAGUAGGUGAGGUAACGGCUCACCUAGGCGACGAUACAUAGCCGACCUGAGAGGGUGAUCGGCCACACUGGGACUGAGACACGGCCCAGACUCCUACGGGAGGCAGCAGUAGGGAAUCUUCGGCAAUGGGGGCAACCCUGACCGAGCAACGCCGCGUGAGUGAAGAAGGUUUUCGGAUCGUAAAGCUCUGUUGUAAGUCAAGAACGAGUGUGAGAGUGGAAAGUUCACACUGUGACGGUAGCUUACCAGAAAGGGACGGCUAACUACGUGCCAGCAGCCGCGGUAAUACGUAGGUCCCGAGCGUUGUCCGGAUUUAUUGGGCGUAAAGCGAGCGCAGGCGGUUUGAUAAGUCUGAAGUUAAAGGCUGUGGCUCAACCAUAGUUCGCUUUGGAAACUGUCAAACUUGAGUGCAGAAGGGGAGAGUGGAAUUCCAUGUGUAGCGGUGAAAUGCGUAGAUAUAUGGAGGAACACCGGUGGCGAAAGCGGCUCUCUGGUUUGUAACUGACGCUGAGGCUCGAAAGCGUGGGGAGCGAACAGG